rnacentral:rRNA from 1 species
UACGGAGGAUCCAAGCGUUUAUCCGGAUUUAUUGGGUUUAAAGGGUGCGUAGGCGGCCUGUUAAGUCAGGGGUGAAAGACGGUAGCUCAACUAUCGCAGUGCCCUUGAUACUGAUGGGCUUGAAUGGACUAGAGGUAGGCGGAAUGUGACAAGUAGCGGUGAAAUGCAUAGAUAUGUCACAGAACACCGAUUGCGAAGGCAGCUUACUAUGGUCUUAUUGACGCUGAGGCACGAAAGCGUGGGGAUCAAACAGG